UACAGAGGGGGCAAGCGUUGUUCGGAAUUACUGGGCGUAAAGGGCGCGUAGGCGGCCGCCUAAGUCAGACGUGAAAUCCCUCGGCUCAACCGGGGAACUGCGUCUGAUACUGGGUGGCUUGAAUUCGGGAGAGGGAUGCGGAAUUCCAGGUGUAGCGGUGAAAUGCGUAGAUAUUCGCAAGAACACCAGUGGCGAAGGCGGCUCACUGGCCCGGUACUGACGCUGAGGUGCGAAAGCGUGGGGAGCAAACAGG
rnacentral:rRNA from 1 species